AGAGUUUGAUCAUGGCUCAGAACGAACGCUGGCGGCAGGCUUAACACAUGCAAGUCGAGCGCAUCCUUCGGGAUGAGCGGCGGACGGGUUAGUAACGCGUGGGAACGUGCCCUUCUCUACGGAAUAGCCCAGGGAAACUUGGAUUAAUACCGUAUACGCCCUUAGGGGGAAAGAUUUAUCGGAGAAGGAUCGGCCCGCGUCUGAUUAGGUAGUUGGUGGGGUAAUGGCCUACCAAGCCGACGAUCAGUAGCUGGUUUGAGAGGAUGAUCAGCAACACUGGGACUGAGACACGGCCCAGACUCCUACGGGAGGCAGCAGUGGGGAAUCUUGGACAAUGGGCGCAAGCCUGAUCCAGCCAUGCCGCGUGAGCGAUGAAGGCCUUAGGGUUGUAAAGCUCUUUCGCCAGGGAUGAUAAUGACAGUACCUGGUAAAGAAACCCCGGCUAACUCCGUGCCAGCAGCCGCGGUAAU
rnacentral:rRNA from 1 species